rnacentral:rRNA from 1 species
AUGGGAAUCUGCCCAGUCGUGGGGGAUAACGUAUGGAAACGUACGCUAAUACCGCAUGCGCCCUUCGGGGGAAAGUCGGGGACCGCAAGGCCUGACGCGAUUGGAUGAGCCCAUGUUCGAUUAGCUAGUUGGCGGGGUAACGGCCCACCAAGGCGACGAUCGAUAGCUGGUCUGAGAGGAUGAUCAGCCACACUGGAACUGAGACACGGUCCAGACUCCUACGGGAGGCAGCAGUAGGGAAUAUUGGACAAUGGGCGCAAGCCUGAUCCAGCCAUGCCGCGUGAGUGAAGAAGGCCCUCGGGUUGUAAAGCUCUUUUGUUGGGGAAGAAAAGCAGUUGGUUAAUACCCGAUUGUUCUGACGGUACCCAAAGAAUAAGCACCGGCUAACUUCGUGCCAGCAGCCGCGGUAAUACGAAGGGUGCAAGCGUUACUCGGAAUUACUGGGCGUAAAGCGUGCGUAGGUGGUUGUUUAAGUCUGAUGUGAAAGCCCUGGGCUCAACCUGGGAAUGGCAUUGGAUACUGGAUAGCUAGAGUGCGGUAGAGGGUAGUGGAAUUCCCGGUGUAGCAGUGAAAUGCGUAGAGAUCGGGAGGAACAUCCGUGGCGAAGGCGACUACCUGGGCCAGCACUGACAC